CCAUAAAGUUUGUAACUAUGUUGGCUGAAGCAGAUGGAGAAAAAUUCAUGAACUUCGAUAGAUAAAGGACUAGAUUGCUCGCAUUUGCCAGAGACAGGAAUUGUUUGCUAUGAAAAGGACAUGGAGAGGAAAAGGCUUACCUGAUUGGUUGCUUGGUGUCAGCACAUGUGCCCUUUUCCUUCUGAAAGAGGGAAUUGUACUGGACUAGUGGUGCUAUCCUGAAAUGUAAGUCGACCAUUUGAAUGCCUUAUCUGGAAGAUGUCAGAUGCAUUUUCUGAAACAAAAUGAAAACUAAAUUAAAUCAGUUUAUAGCUAUAGCACAAUCUAAAAUAUUAGUAGCUUGGUGUAGAUGUCAGCAAAUGAUUCAGUUACUAACAAAUUGUUCAGCAAAGUUAGUUCCAAAACACUCUAUUGAUAUGCAUGCCUAGUAUGAACAAGUUUGAUGCUUA